UAUUUGGAACAUCUUAGUUCACAAAUUUGUCACUAUCAGUAUGGGUGUAUUAACUCUUACCCAAAGCCCAUGUUGCAGCAGGACUUUACCACUUACCAGAUCAAGGCUUAGAUCACAUAGCAGAAAAAGUUAUUUCGAUGCCAGGUCUCUGUGUGCAGCAGAGCUGGUAUGUAAAGAAUGGCAGCAAGUGACCUCAGAAUGAAUGCUUUGGAAGAAGCUGAUUGAACGAAUGGUACACGCUUAUCCUCUAUGGAAGGGACUUUCAGAAAAAGGGUGGGACAGCACCUGUUUAAAAACAGACCCACAGAUGGCCCUCCCAAUUCAUUUCAUAGGUCAUUAUACCCAAAGAUUAUCCAGGUUAUAGAGACUAUAGAAUCUAACUGGCAGUGUGGAUGACACACCUUACAAAGGAUUCAGUGCCACUCUGAAAAGAGUAAAGGUGUCUAUUGUUUACAGUAUGAUGAUGAAAAAUUAUCCGUGGCCUACAAGAUAAUUCUAUUAAGGUGAAUGAC
rnacentral:lncRNA from 1 species